rnacentral:rRNA from 1 species
AGACCCGAAACCCGGUGAUCUAGCCAUGGGCAGGUUGAAGGUUGGGUAACACUAACUGGAGGACCGAACCGACUAAUGUUGAAAAAUUAGCGGAUGACUUGUGGCUGGGGGUGAAAGGCCAAUCAAACCGGGAGAUAGCUGGUUCUCCCCGAAAGCUAUUUAGGUAGCGCCUCGUGAAUUCAUCUCCGGGGGUAGAGCACUGUUUCGGCAAGGGGGUCAUCCCGACUUACCAACCCGAUGCAAACUGCGAAUACCGGAGAAUGUUAUCACGGGAGACACACGGCGGGUGCUAACGUCCGUCGUGAAGAGGGAAACAACCCAGACCGCCAGCUAAGGUCCCAAAGUCAUGGUUAAGUGGGAAACGAUGUGGGAAGGCCCAGACAGCCAGGAUGUUGGCUUAGAAGCAGCCAUCAUUUAAAGAAAGCGUAAUAGCUCACUGGUCGAGUCGGCCUGCGCGGAAGAUGUAACGGGGCUAAACCAUGCACCGAAGCUGCGGCAGCGACACUGUGUGUUGUUGGGUAGGGGAGCGUUCUGUAAGCCUGUGAAGGUGUGCUGUGAGGCAUGCUGGAGGUAUCAGAAGUGCGAAUGCUGACAUAAGUAACGAUAAAGCGGGUGAAAAGCCCGCUCGCCGGAAGACCAAGGGUUCCUGUCCAACGUUAAUCGGGGCAGGGUGAGUCGACCCCUAAGGCGAGGCCGAAAGGCGUAGUCGAUGGGAAACAGGUUAAUAUUCCUGUACUUGGUGUUACUGCGAAGGGGGGACGGAGAAGGCUAUGUUGGCCGGGCGACGGUUGUCCCGGUUUAAGCGUGUAGGCUGGUUUUCCAGGCAAAUCCGGAAAAUCAAGGCUGAGGCGUGAUGACGAGGCACUACGGUGCUGAAGCAACAAAUGCCCUGCUUCCAGGAAAAGCCUCUAAGCAUCAGGUAACAUCAAAUCGUACCCCAAACCGACACAGGUGGUCAGGUAGAGAAUACCAAGGCGCUUGAGAGAACUCGGGUGAAGGAACUAGGCAAAAUGGUGCCGUAACUUCGGGAGAAGGCACGCUGAUAUGUAGGUGAAGUCCCUCGCGGAUGGAGCUGAAAUCAGUCGAAGAUACCAGCUGGCUGCAACUGUUUAUUAAAAACACAGCACUGUGCAAACACGAAAGUGGACGUAUACGGUGUGACGCCUGCCCGGUGCCGGAAGGUUAAUUGAUGGGGUCAGCGCAAGCGAAGCUCUUGAUCGAAGCCCCGGUAAACGGCGGCCGUAACUAUAACGGUCCUAAGGUAGCGAAAUUCCUUGUCGGGUAAGUUCCGACCUGCACGAAUGGCGUAAUGAUGGCCAGGCUGUCUCCACCCGAGACUCAGUGAAAUUGAACUCGCUGUGAAGAUGCAGUGUACCCGCGGCAAGACGGAAAGACCCCGUGAACCUUUACUAUAGCUUGACACUGAACAUUGAGCCUUGAUGUGUAGGAUAGGUGGGAGGCUUUGAAGUGUGGACGCCAGUCUGCAUGGAGCCGACCUUGAAAUACCACCCUUUAAUGUUUGAUGUUCUAACGUGGACCCGUGAUCCGGGUUGCGGACAGUGUCUGGUGGGUAGUUUGACUGGGGCGGUCUCCUCCUAAAGAGUAACGGAGGAGCACGAAGGUUGGCUAAUCCUGGUCGGACAUCAGGAGGUUAGUGCAAUGGCAUAAGCCAGCUUGACUGCGAGCGUGACGGCGCGAGCAGGUGCGAAAGCAGGUCAUAGUGAUCCGGUGGUUCUGAAUGGAAGGGCCAUCGCUCAACGGAUAAAAGGUACUCCGGGGAUAACAGGCUGAUACCGCCCAAGAGUUCAUAUCGACGGCGGUGUUUGGCACCUCGAUGUCGGCUCAUCACAUCCUGGGGCUGAAGUAGGUCCCAAGGGUAUGGCUGUUCGCCAUUUAAAGUGGUACGCGAGCUGGGUUUAGAACGUCGUGAGACAGUUCGGUCCCUAUCUGCCGUGGGCGCUGGAGAACUGAGGGGGGCUGCUCCUAGUACGAGAGGACCGGAGUGGACGCAUCACUGGUGUUCGGGUUGUC